ACGAGAAAAGUCUCGAAAAAAAGAGGCAUUUCACAGCUCGCGUGUCAGUUCAUAUUUAGCUUUGAGGUUGCGGAUGCUUGUUUUACUAUUUGCAGUGAGGUUUUAUACAAUGUUAAGUUAUAAACUAGUUGAAUAUAUAUGGUUUUCAACCAAAUACGAAGUUUCAGCUAGAAAUAAUAAGUUUUUCUAUCUUUAGAAUGCAUUUAGUAUAAGAAAUAGUACCGUAUAUAGUUUGUACAGGAUGCUUCUAGUUUGGCAAUGAGAAAGGAAGUGUGCAACUGCUACUGUACAAUCAAUAAUAAAACUGUUGUAAUUCAGAUUCAGUUGAAAUAAUGAAUUUUUAACUAAAAAUUUGGUACCAGUGAAGAAUCCUCCCUUUCACAUUCUCUUGAUAAGGCGUUAGUGGUUAGGGAGAGUAUUCUUCACUAGCACCAAUAAAUUGUAUGUUGAAAUAUUAACUUAGAAAUAAUGAUCAAAAUGGAUGGUGGACAGCAGCACAUUAAAUUUGUGUCUUGACCACUCUACUGGACCAAGAGUUUGUAGAAGAAAAAUUGUCGACAACACCGGUACAUUUAGAAGCAAGAUAGAAACCAAAAGAGUGUGAGAAUUACAUGUAUCAGUUUGGAUAUACAUUCAUCAAUAAGCUACAGAGUGGUUUGUAAACCCAUCAUUUGAAGAAAAGACAACAUACAUAACAUAAUACACAGUACUGACAUUAUACAUAGUACUGGGCUGCUGAAU